CCUGGGCUUCACCGGGGACAGGUGUGAUGACAUCAGCAGCACCAUCGAAACCAAGGCCGAGACCAACGGGACGGUGCAGCUGAUGCUGCGCGUCACCAACCGGGACUUCACCGAGGACCUCAAGAACUCCAGCUCACCUGCCUACAUUGAGUUCAUCCAGGAAUUCACCAAGCAGAUGGACGUGGUCUAUGCCAGCAUCGAGGGGUACA